UACGUAGGGUGCAAGCGUUAAUCGGAAUUACUGGGCGUAAAGCGUGCGCAGGCGGUUAUCCAAGUCCGUUGUGAAAGCCCCGGGCUCAACCUGGGAACGGCAGUGGAAACUAGGGGACUGGAAUCUGGCAGAGGGGGGUGGAAUGCCGCGUGUAGCAGUGAAAUGCGUAGAGAUGCGGCGGAACACCGAUGGCGAAGGCAGCCCCCUGGGCUGAGAUUGACGCUCAGGCACGAAAGCGUGGGGAGCAAACAGG
rnacentral:rRNA from 1 species